rnacentral:siRNA from 1 species
UAGCCAAGAUGAAUGAUGAUA